rnacentral:rRNA from 1 species
UACGUAGGGGGCAAGCGUUGUCCGGAAUUACUGGGCGUAAAGCGCGUGUAGGCGGCUAUGCAAGUCGGGCGUGAAAUCCCACGGCUCAACCGUGGAAGUGCACUCGAAACUGCGUAGCUAGAGUCCCGGAGAGGAAGGGUGGAAUACUUGGUGUAGAGGUGAAAAUUCGUAGAUAUCAAGUGGAACACCGGUGGCGAAGGCGGCCUUACUGGACGGUGACUGACGCUGAGACGCGAAAGCGUGGGGAGCAAACAGG